rnacentral:rRNA from 1 species
UGCAAGUCGAACGAGAAAGCCGCAAGGCAAGUAAAGUGGCGUACGGGUGAGUAACACGUGGAUAAUCUGCCUUUUAGUGGGGAAUACCGUUGGGAAACCGACGACAAUACCGCAUAAUCCCGAGAGGGGAAAGCAGCAAUGCGCUGAAAGAGGAGUCCGCGGUCGAUUAGUUAGUUGGCGGGGUAAAAGCCCACCAAGACUGUGAUCGAUAGCCGGCCUGAGAGGGCACACGGCCACACUGGCACUGAAACACGGGCCAGACUCCUACGGGAGGCAGCAGUGGGGAAUCUUGCACAAUGGGGGAAACCCUGAUGCAGCGACGCCGCGUGAGCGAUGAAGCCCUUCGGGGUGUAAAGCUCUUUCGUCGGGGAAGACAAUGACGGUACCCGGAGAAGCAGCUGCGGCUAACUACGUGCCAGCAGCCGCGGUAAUACGUAGGCAGCAAGCGUUGUUCGGAGUUACUGGGCGUAAAGGGUGCGUAGGCGGCUAUUUAAGUUUGGUGUGAAAUCUCCCGGCUCAACCGGGAGGGUGCGCCGAAUACUGAGUGGCUAGAGUGCGGGAGAGGAAAGUGGAAUUCCUGGUGUAGCGGUGAAAUGCGUAGAUAUCAGGAGGAACACCGGUGGUGUAAACGGCUUUCUGGACCGUAACUGACGCUGAGGCACGAAAGCGUGGGUAGCAAACAGGAUUAGAUACCCUGGUAGUCCACGCCCUAAACGAUGCAUAUUUGGUGUGGGCCAUUCAUUUGGUCUGUGCCGGAGCUAACGCGUUAAAUAAUGCCGCCUGGGGAGUACAGUCGCAAGGCUGAAACUCAAAGGAAUUGACGGGGACCCGCACAAGCGGUGGAGCAUGUGGUUUAAUUCGACGCACCGCGAAGAACCUUACCUGGGCUCGAAAUGCUAGGACAGCUUAUGAAGUAGGCCUUUCCCGCAGGGAUCUA